AUUGAACGCUGGCGGCAUGCCUAACACAUGCAAGUCGAACGGUAACAGACGAGAGCUUGCUCUUGUGCUGACGAGUGGCGGACGGGUGAGUAAUACGUAGGGAUCUGCCUCAUAGAGGGGGACAACUAGGGGAAACCCUAGCUAAUACCGCAUAUGUUCUACGGAAUAAAGGCUGGGACCUUCGGGCCAGUCACUAUGAGAUGAACCUACGUCCGAUUAGCUUGUUGGUGGGGUAAAGGCCUACCAAGGCGACGAUCGGUAGCUGUUCUGAGAGGAUGAUCAGCCACACUGGGACUGAGACACGGCCCAG
rnacentral:rRNA from 1 species